rfam:Aedes albopictus isolate Foshan contig45657, whole genome shotgun sequence.
GUAGCUUAGUUGAUAAAGCACUUGUCUAGCGAAUAAGGGUCGUGAGUUCAAAUCUCACC